rnacentral:rRNA from 1 species
UUUACGGGAGGCAGCAGUGGGGAAUUUUACGGGAGGCAGCAGUGGGGAAUACUGGACAAUGGGGGCAAGCCUGAUCCAGCCAUGCCGCGUGAGUGAUGAAGGCCGUAGGGUUGUAAAGCUCUUUGUACGGAAGAUAAUGACGUACCGCAG